rnacentral:ribozyme from 13 species
CAAAGGAACAUAAACAUCAAGAAGAGUAGAAAGAGAAUCGCCAUAACAAAUAUCAGAAAAACAAACAAAAUGUUUCAAAACUUGUCUCUUUCCUUUGUAUCUUUCUUCUUGUUUGUUGUCUAGCAUGAUC